UUGAAACAAAAUGUUUAUAAUUUCGGACAAAAUGUUCGCAAUUUCCAACUAAAUGUUGGGAAUUUCGAACAAAAUCGGUAGGGUUUCUCCUGCAGCAAGGUGUUUUAUUUUCCAAUAAAAGCAAUGCAGCUAGCUCAGUGGACAGAUUUUCUAAGUAAUCCCUCAACAAAAGCCUGGGACCUGGACCAGACAGCCAGAUAUUGAGCUCUCCGGCACUGUAAUAAUCAUAGAAUUCAUCAAUGUGUUUUUAACCCUUGUAAAUGUAUAAUUAUGUGCCUAAUAAAAUAUUUAUUUC